GUUUCUCUGUGUAACCUUGGCUGUUCUGGGCUGCUUUGUAGACCAGGCUGGCUGCAAAUGCAAAGAGAUCCCCUUUCCUCCCUGAGUGCUGGGAUCACAGGGCUGUGGAGGGGACGGAAGCAGGAAGCAGCCUGGCAUCAUGUGACACCCGAAGAGACAUGUGCAACAUCUGGGGUUGCACACAGCCGCUAAGUGCGGAAUCCCAAUGUCAAGCCUCCUUGCGCCCCCAUCACUCAGAGCACUCUUCGCCC